rnacentral:tRNA from 1 species
GCACCCUUAGUGUAGUGGAUAUCACACAAGAUUCCGGUUCUUGAGACAGGGGUUCGAUUCCCUUAGGGUGCGUCA